rfam:Dipodomys ordii contig_6279, whole genome shotgun sequence.
GUGGAGGUGGCUCAGUGGUAGACCACUUGCCUUGCAUGCAUGAGGCCCUGAGUUCGAUUCCUCAGCACCACA